rnacentral:lncRNA from 1 species
AUGAAUAAUAUUUGCCAUUGUCGUCGUCAUCAUCAUCGUCAUCAUCAUCAUCAUCAUCAUCAUCUUUAUCACCACUGUGUGCUUUCAAAGUUCUUUCAUAGGCACCACCUUUCCAAUACCAUAAGGUGGCAUUUUAAGCUGUCAGCUACUUCACUUACUUUUAAGGCUUGCUAUGGCUUUUGUAAAAAAUAUUCUAAGAACUCUCCUUGUUCCAACAUCCUACCACCCAUCGAUUCCAUAGAACGGGUUCCUGUAAUCUUAUCCUGUAAUCUAGUCCACAACCAUGACUACUUAUUUCCAUACGUCACCUCUUCCGUUUCUUUCAUCUGCCAGAGUUUUGCCAGAAAACGUGGCAGACUUCUGAAAAGGCACUUUUUCAAAGACCUGGAUGCCCGAGAAUACACCUCCCCUGGCAUCACUCUAGACGCGUGCAAAUCCGGAGCUUGAGGCUGGAGAGACUGAGAUUGAAAAUCCAAACUAAUGGAGACACAGAAAUAAGUGUGGUGCUAUCACUGCUUACCUCCGUCCUUCAUGUAAUACCCACACUGCUCAGGUCAAGAGAGGGACCCUCUGCUGCCGGCCUCUGAGAAGAUUCCUCCCUUUGUGAGUGGCCCCUGGUCUGUAUCUCCCAGCUCUGUACGUACGAGUUGAGUCACUUAACCUUUCUCAGCCUCGAUUUUCUCAUCUUGAAAAUGGUAAUAUAAUUGUACCUAUCUUACAGGGUUGUUACAAGAAUUAAGUGAGGAAUUCAUAGAACAUGCACAACAUAAUGUCAGGUACAUGGCAAGCGUUCUUACACUCUUCUCCCCCUGAAGGUCCCUCCCCCGACUGAGUCAUUGGGAUUCUUAUAUCUGCAUCUUUUGCCCCUCCAUCACCUCGCACUCCAGGCUGAGGUUUGGGAUUUGGGGGUCUGGGCUGGCUGAGGAAGCAAGGGUGACUCCUUCCAAGAAAAACAGGAUGUGCAGCAAGCAGCAGCCAGACGUGAAACCAGAACAGAAGCCCCAGGUGAGAGACUAAGUAGGCAGAGAUAGAAUGUCAGAUAGGUAGCAGGGUGUGAGCCUGGCAAUCCCACUGGCGAUCCCCAACAGACAGAAGCAAGACAAUCCCAGAGCAAGAAGGUUGGGGUGGAGGGCAGGAAGCAGGACCUGGAGAGGCUUCCUGAGCAGCUGGAGGUCCUCUGGAGGGACCCUGAAAUAUGGAGGAGAAGAAGGCAGAAGCCAUGCUAGUGAGCGUGCAAUGGUAUCUCACUGUGAUUUUGAUUUACAUUCCCCUAUUGGCUAAUGAUGUUUAGCAUUUUUUCAUGUGCUUAUUGCCAUUUUAUACAUUCUUGAAAUGGCUAAUCAAAUCCUUUGCCCAUUUUUAAACUGGAUCGUCUUUUUAUGUUUAUGGAUUUUUUUAUACUUAUAAGUCCCCUAUCAGAUAUAUGAUUUACAAGUAUUUUCUCUCAUUCUGUAAGUUUUCACUUUCUUGAUGGCAUCAUUUGAAGCCAAAAGUUUUUAAUCUUGAUGAUGUCUAUUUGUCUGUAUUCUCUUUCAUUGCUCAUACUUUUGGUGUCAUGUCUAAGUAACUGAUGUCUAAUGCAAGGUCACUGUGAUUUAUACCUAGGUUUUCUUCUAUGAGUUUUAUAAUUUUAGCUAUUAAAUUUAAAUCUCUGAUCCAUUUUAAGUUAAACUUUGUAUAGGGUGUGAAGCUGUGGUCCCCCUUCAUUCUUUGGCAUUCUCGUGGUUGAAUAUUGUUGAGAAUCAGUUGACCGUGGACAAGCUGUUUCAUUUCUGGACCUUCAAUUCCAUGGCAUUUAUGUAUAAGUCUGUCUAUUGUUGUGCCAAUACCACAGGUCUUCAAUACUUCAACUUUUUAGUAAGUUUGGAGUCCUCAACUUUGUUCUUCUUUUUCAAGAUUGUUUUGGUAAUUCUGGAUUCCUUGCAAUUCCAAAUGAAUUUUAGGAUCAGCUUAUCAAUUUCAGCAGAAAGGCAGUUGGAAUUUUGAUUGGGAUGGCUUGUAGCAUGGGUCAUUUGUGAGGAGUAAUGGUAUUACCAUUUUCUCAAAAUUAAGUCUGCCAAUUCAUAAACAUGAGGUGUCUUUCUAUUUAUUUAGGUAUACUUGAAUUUCUCUGAAAAAAUGUAGUUUUCAGUUUAAGUCUUGCACUUCUUGAGUUAAAGAUGUAUUCUUUUUGAUGCUACGGUAAAUGAGAUUUUCUUAAUUUUGCUUUUGAAUUGUCUAUUGCUAGCAUCUAGAAAUACUUGAUUUUUGUAUAUUGGUCUUAUAUCCUGC